rnacentral:rRNA from 1 species
UACGUAGGUGGCAAGCGUUGUCCGGAUUUACUGGGCGUAAAGAGCGCGCAGGCGGUCAGAUAAGUCGAAUGUGAAAGCCCCCGGCUCAACUGGGGAGGGUCAUUCGAUACUGUUCGACUCGAAGGCAGGAGAGGGGUGUAGAAUUCCCGGUGUAGUGGUGGAAUGCGUAGAUAUCGGGGGGAAUACCAGUGGCGAAAGCGGCACCCUAGCGUUAGCCUGACGCUCAUGUGCGAAAGCGUGGGGAGCGAACGGG